rnacentral:rRNA from 1 species
UACAUGGGGUGCAAACGUUGCUCGGAAUUAUUGGGCGUAAAGCGCGCGUAGGCGGUUACUUAAGUCAUGUGUGAAAUCCCUCGGCUCAACCGAGGAAAGACGCAUGAAACUGGCAAGCUAGAGUACCGAAGAGGGGGGUGGAAUUCCCGGUGUAGCGGUGAAAUGCGUAGAUAUCGGAAGGAACGCCGGUGGCGAAAGCGAUCCGCUGGACCUCUUCUGACGCUGAGGCGCGAAAGCCAGGGGAGCAAACGGG